AGCGAACGCUGGCGGCGUGCCUAACACAUGCAAGUCGAGCGAUGAAGCUCCUUCGGGAGUGGAUUAGCGGCGGACGGGUGAGUAACACGUGGGUAACCUGCCUCAUAGAGAGGGAUAGCCUUCCGAAAGGAAGAUUAAUACCUCAUAAGAUUGUAGUUUCGCAUGAAACGGCAAUAAAAGGAGCAAUCCGCUAUGAGAUGGACCCGCGUCGCAUUAGCUAGUUGGUAAGGUAAUGGCUUACCAAGGCGACGAUGCGUAGCCGACCUGAGAGGGUGAUCGGCCACAUUGGGACUGAGACACGGCCCAGACUCCUACGGGAGGCAGCAGUGGGGAAUAUUGCACAAUGGGGGAAACCCUGAUGCAGCAACGCCGCGUGAGUGAUGACGGUCUUCGGAUUGUAAAACUCUGUCUUUGGGGACGAUAAUGACGGUACCCAAGGAGGAAGCCACGGCUAACUACGUGCCAGCAGCCGCCGUAAAAC
rnacentral:rRNA from 1 species